UUUCGCUUUCGAGUUUUGAUUAAAGAUAAUUAAAAUCAAUAACUAUAUAAUAAGUGAUUUGUUAACGGCUACAUCAACAAUGGCACCUCAUGCUAAAGUAGCUGUUGAGGAUGUCGUAGCAGUUAUUAAAAAGCAUAUCGACCAUUUUACAGAGAGAAGUACAUGGACAGAUGAACUUUUCGAGAUCAUUCAACGUCAAACUAAUCUCCCAUGCUGCUUCAAUUUCGACAAGCACAAAAUUUCACGA